UUUACAGUGAAGGUUCCUUCCUACUUGCAGGUUACAUGCAGUUCUCUUGUAUGGAUGCAAGGAGCGAGUCUGGCUACAGAUGCACCAGAGAAUCUUACUGUUGGAGGGGAUGUUAGAGGUCCUUUUGUCUAACCCUCCUGUCCUUCCUGUCUUCCUUCUCUUAUGCUAUCAGUUUGAGUCCCUCUCAGAGGCUCCUGGAAGAUCCCUUGGUGAGCACAGGGCUUCUAAUUUCCAAGCCUGAUGUCAUCUCUCAGCUGGAGCGUGGGGAAGAGCUAGAGAGAGAAGUAUCAAAAGCACCAGACUGGGAGACAAUACCAGAAAGCAAGGAGCUUACUCCAGAGCAGGAUAUUUCUGAGGAAGAAUCAGCCACUGGUGUGUUAAUAGAAAGAUUCCCAAAGGAAAGUUCCAGUGAAUGUGAGGAUUCUUGAGAGUCAGGAGGAAAACCAUGAGAAACAUUUAAUACAGGAGGUUGUC